rnacentral:rRNA from 1 species
ACGCUCGACACCUACGGGAAGCAGCAGUGGGGAAUAUUGCACAAUGGGGGAAACCCUGAUGCAGCGACGCCGCGUGAAGGAAGAAGUAUCUCGGUAUGUAAACUUCUAUCAGCAGGGAAGAAAAUGACGGUACCUGACUAAGAAGCCCCGGCUAACUACGUGCUAGCAGCCGCGGUAAUCUGAGCGGGCUGGCAAGGC